rnacentral:rRNA from 1 species
GAUGAACGCUGGCGGCGUGCCUAAUACAUGCCAGUCGAACGAAACUUCUUUAUCACCGAGUGCUUGCACUCACCGAUAAAGAGUUGAGUGGCGAACGGGUGAGUAACACGUGGGCAACCUGCCCAAAAGAGGGGGAUAACACUUGGAAACAGGUGCUAAUACCGCAUAACCAUAGUUACCGCAUGGUAACUAUGUAAAAGGUGGCUAUACUACCGCUUUUGGAUGGGCCCGCGGCGCAUUAGCUAGUUGGUAGGGUAAAGGCUUACCAAGGCAAUGAUGCGUAGCCGAAUUGAGAGGUUGAUCGGCCACAUUGGGACUGAGACACGGCCCAAACUCCUACGGGAGGCAGCAGUAGGGAAUCUUCCACAAUGGGCGAAAGCCUGAUGGAGCAACGCCGCGUGGGUGAAGAAGGUCUUCGGAUCGUAAAACCCUGUUGUUAGAGAAGAAAGUGCGUGAGAGUAACUGUUCACGUUUCGACGGUAUCUAACCAGAAAGCCACGGCUAACUACGUG